CCCAGCCUGCCUCAGGACGCGCACGACGGCUCCCGUCACCCCGCGCGAGGCCGUGGUGGCGGCGCUGAUGGCGGCCGUGCCGCCGGUGGCCUACGUGUACAGCCCCGAGUACAUGGCCCGCUGCGACGCGCUCUGCAAGGCGCCCCGCCGGGCCAGCAUGGUGCACUCGCUGAUCGAGGCGUACUCGCUGCUGGAGCACAUGACGAUAGUCAAGCCGAAGGUGGCUACCAUGGAGGAGAUGGCGAGCUUCCACACGGACGCUUACCUGCAGCACCUGCAGAAGGUCAGCGAGGAGGGGGAUGACGACCAUCCGGAGUCCGUGGAGUAUGGAUUGGGUUACGACUGUCCGGCUACCGAGGGGAUCUUUGACUAUGCGGCAGCCGUGGGGGGAGCCACCAUCACCGCAGCCCAGUGCCUGCUGGACGGCAAGUGCAAGGUAGCGAUUAACUGGCCUGGAGGGUGGCAUCACGCGAAGAAAGAUGAAGCUUCAGGCUUUUGUUACCUGAACGACGCUGUCUUGGGGAUCCUGCGGCUGCGCCAGAAAUUUGACCGAGUCCUUUACAUUGACUUGGAUUUGCAUCACGGGGAUGGGGUUGAAGAUGCCUUUAGCUUCACCUCAAAAGUUAUGACUGUUUCUCUGCACAAGUUUUCGCCAGGAUUUUUCCCAGGCACAGGCGAUGUGACAGAUGUCGGCUUGGGGAAGGGUCGCUAUUACAGCGUGAACGUGCCUAUUCAAGAUGGCAUUCAGGAUGAGAAAUAUUACCAGAUCUGUGAAACCGUGCUGAAGGAGGUGUACGCUGCCUUCAACCCGGAGGCGGUGGUGCUGCAGCUGGGAGCUGACACCAUCGCUGGUGACCCCAUGUGCUCCUUCAACAUGACCCCCGAGGGAGUGGGCAAGUGCCUGAAGUACAUCCUGCAGUGGCAGCUGGCGACUCUCAUCCUGGGAGGAGACAGGAGGCUACAACCUUGCCAACACGGCCCGCUGCUGGACGUACUUGACUGGGGUUAUCCUUGGGAGAACGCUGUCCUCGGAGAUCCCCGAUCACGAGUUCUUCACGGAGUAUGGUCCUGACUACGUGCUGGAGAUCACGCCCAGCUGCAGACCAGACCGCAAUGAGCCACAGAGAAUUCAAGAAAUUCUCAACUUGAUCAAAGGGAAUCUGAAGCACGUCGUGUAGGAAGGCUCGGGUUUCCACAAGAGCAUUUCCCCAUGGGAGGUGACACGUUUACGGGAGCAGCUGCUGACAUUUGUGGCUGCAGAGGGGAUUUGGAAGAAACUACUGUUGGUUCGGUGGUGGAUUUGUUUCUCUUUUUAAAAAAAAGAAAAGCCUGCUGCGUACCAUGGCUCUCCGUGGGCAGGAGCAUGAGCCCUCCGGCCCCAGCUUUCCCGUGCCAGCAGAGCCUUCCUUGCUCCUUUCUCUUCCCUUUUUUAACAUGACAGAGUUUAUUCUCACUACUGGUUCUAAUGUUUUUUAAAAGAGGGGCCACUGCAAGCUCUGUUUUUAACUGGUGGGCAUUUUUUUUCCCAAAUAAAGUAUUUGAAAUACUCCA